AUUUGUCUGGUUAAUUCCGAUAACGAACGAGACCUUAACCUGCUAACUAGUUCUCAAUACUCUGUAUUCUGCAACUUCUUAGAGGGACUAUGUAAAUCAAUUACAUGGAAGUUUGAGGCAAUAACAGGUCAGUGAUGCCCUUAUAUGUCCUGGGCUGCACGCGUGCUACACUGAUGCAUACAACAAGUGCCUAGCCAGACAUGGUAUGGCAAUCUCGAAUAUGCAUCGUGAUGGGGAUAGAUCUUUGCAAUUAUAGGUCUUGAACGAGGAAUUCCUAGUAAGUGCAAGUCAUCAUCUUGCAUUGAUUAUGUCCCUGCCCUUUGUACACACCGCCCGUCGCUCCUACCGAUACCGGGUGAUCCGGUGAACCUUUUGGACUCCGUACGGGGGAAGAUAAGUAAACCAUAUCACCUAGAGGAAGGAGAAGUCGUAACAAGGUUUCCGUAGGUGAACCUGCRGAAGGAUCA
rnacentral:rRNA from 1 species